AACCUGUGGACAGUGCCUUCAUGAGGAGACUUGGAACUGGAGCUGUAGAUGAUGAUUGUAAGCUAUCGUGUGGGUGCUGGGAUUGAACCAGGUCCUUUGAUAAAGCAGAAACAAAGCUCAACAGAAACAACGCAAGUGAGUCGAAGCCGUCACGUUUAUGGUCGGUUGAUUCUUGCAAGAGCAAAGAGAAGAGUAGUCUACAAAACACACAUCGGGACGAUAGGCCAAUGGCAUUGAUAGGCAAAGGUCAACCUGAACUCUGGCUUCAAGUCAUUCUCCAACACUAACUCAAGAUUCAUUACAGGUCCGAACGGAGGUACCGCCAGUACCCAACUCCUAGAAAAAGAUCCAGUGUGAAAUUUCUAUCAUCUUGUGUUAAGUGAGAGUUUCUCAAUACGGUCACAGGGCACAAGCAUCAUAAAAAAUUAAAACACGCACACACACAGGAAACAUUGAAAAUUAAUAAAUUUAAAAAGAUUGAUUUAGAAUAAAAUCUAAAUUCCUUAUUCUGGGCUACAAAGUGCUGCCUAAUUUUGGAUAAGUUGGACUUGAAAAACAAAACAACUUUUGUGCUUCCAAGAACAGUGUUAGAGAAGUAAAAAGACAGUCCAUGCAACUAGAGACUAGUGUUGGCCAGCCACGUACCUGGCAAGAGACAUAAUCUCAAACAUAAAAAGAAUCCUUACAACAACGAAAAGAUGAACAGCUCACAUUGAAAAUGGGCAAAUAAUUUGAGACAUUCCUCCAAAGCAAAUGAACAGGUAGCCACUAAGAGAACAUGAAACUGUGCUUAGAACAAUGAGACGCAGAGAGUGGCAGCACCCAGCCACAAUCAGGCUGUCACACUCAAGCGGAUGGCUGGAGUGACAAAGAGGGACAGUCACAGGAGUCAGUGAGGGUGACACUGAGGAGUGAGCAGAGAGAUCCAAGCCUUUGCAUCACUGGUGGGAAUGUGACAUGUGUUGCUCUGGAUAAUGGCCCAGGUGUCUCUAAAAGCCCAGACAUAUAGAUUCUACAUGACCCACCAGUUCCACCCAAAUGAUCCUACCUACCACCAAAAAUGAACAUACUUGAGCACACGCACACAUAAAAUUUAACACAUUUAUCACAUAUAAACUUUGAAAAGUUACGUUAAGUAAAAGAAGCCAAUCGUGAAAGAUUAUACAUGGUAUGAUUCCAUUUAAAUGCAGCAUUCAAAUGGGAAAUCUCUGAGUGGCACUGGCUGUCCUGGAACGCUGAUCUGUAGACCAGACUGGUCCUAAACUGAUUCUGCCUCCAAGUUCUGAGAUUAAAGGCGUGUGCCUAGCCUAACGGUAUACUUCGAGUGGGUGAAUUGUAUAGUAUUUUAAUUAUUUCUCAAUAAAAUGUUUUUAAAAA